AACGUAGGAGGCAAGCGUUAUCCGUAGUGACUGGGCGUAAAGAGCGUGGAGGCGGUUGAGUAAGUUGCGUGUGAAAGCGCCCGGCUAAACUGGGCGAGGACAGGCAAGACUGCUGAGCUAGGGGCCGAUAGAGGGGUGCGGAAUUCCGGGUGUAGCGGCGAAAUGUGUAGAGAUCCGGAGGAACACCAGUGGUGCAGACGGCGCCCUGGAUCGGACCUGACGGUGAGACGCGAAAGCGUGGGGAGCGAACGGG
rnacentral:rRNA from 1 species